AUUGAACGCUGGCGGCAGGCCUAACACAUGCAAGUCGAACGAGUGGCGGACGGGUGAGUAAUGUUUGGGAAACUGCCUGAUGGAGGGGGAUAACUACUGGAAACGGUAGCUAAUACCCCAUACUAUCUGAUUGGCCCAUAUGGGAUUAGCUAGUAGGUAAGGUAACGGCUCACCUAGGCGACGAUCCCUAGCUGGUCUGAGAGGAUGACCAGUCACACUGGAACGGAGACACGGUCCAGACUCCUACGGGAGGCAGCAGUGGGGAAUAUUGCACAAUGGGCGCAAGCCUGAUGCAGCCAUGCCGCGUGUAUGAAGAAGGCCUUAGGGUUGUAAAGUACUUUCAGCGGGGAGGCGUUACCCGCAGAAGAAGCACCGGCUAACUCCGUGCCAGCAGCCGCGGUAAUUC
rnacentral:rRNA from 1 species